AUGUUCACCAUGGCAGGCUGCUUCUUCGGAGAAUUGAGCUACCUUAGUCCAUCUGCUAGAGAUGUGACCAAGGGCAUGUUUGUCCCCUCUCUGCGAGGGAAAGGUGCUACUGCCAAUGCGAUCGCGCUCUUUGGCGCUAUCAUCACACCGUACAACUUGUUCUUGCACUCUGCCCUGGUCCUCUCACGGAAGACCCCACGGUCAGACAAAAGCAUCAGAGCGGCCUGCAGAUACUUCCUUAUAGAGUGCAGCCUUGCUUUCGUCGUGGCGUUCCUCAUCAACGUCGCGGUGGUUAUCGUUGCUGGAUCCAUUUGUAGCGCUAAUAAUCUCUCUCCGGCCGAUGCCGGCGCUUGUGGCGAUCUUACUCUCCAAUCUGCACCUCUGCUGCUCAGAAAUGUUUUGGGGAGAUCAAGCUCUGUUGUGUAUGCGGUUGCGCUGCUAGCUUCUGGGCAAAGCACCGAAAUUAGUUGCACAUUCGCUGGGCAGGUCAUCAUGCAGGUAAUCAUUCCUACUCCAGGUGUUAUCCAGUUUAUUUAUGCAAACUAUUCAGAGGCAUUCUUAAGCAUUAUCUAUGCCAGUGAGUAUAGACAUCUUCCCUUCCAAUUAUGGGCUAUGUUACAGGGGUUUCUGGACAUCAAGAUGAAGAACUGGGUUAGGAACCUCAUCACCAGGGUCAUCGCCAUUGCUCCAAGCCUUAUAGUCUCCAUUGUGAGCGGUCCGUCAGGCGCUGGCAAGCUAAUCAUCCUUUCCUCGGUACUCCUCCAUGACCUUGUCAUGGCUGGCAGGCGGGCCCUCAUCAAGACACAAGCACUGACCAGUGGGGUCACCGUAGCAGAGAAGCAGAGUGGUGCAUCAGUCGUGUAA
rnacentral:rRNA from 1 species